rnacentral:rRNA from 1 species
GUAGGUGGCAAGCGUUGUCCGGAAUUAUUGGGCGUAAAGCGCGCGCAGGCGGUUCUUUAAGUCUGAUGUGAAAGCCCACGGCUCAACCGUGGAGGGUCAUUGGAAACUGGAGAACUUGAGUACAGAAGAGGAAAGCGGAAUUCCACGUGUAGCGGUGAAAUGCGUAGAGAUGUGGAGGAACACCAGUGGCGAAGGCGGCUUUCUGGUCUGUAACUGACGCUGAGGCGCGAAAGCGUGGGGAGCAAACAGGGAUUAGAUACCCUGGUAGUCCACGCCGUAAACGAUGAGUGCUAAGUGUUAGGGGGUUUCCGCCCCCUUAGUGCUGCAGCUAACGCAUUAACGCACUCCGCCUGGGGAUACGGCCGCAAGGCUG